GUCCCAAGGCGCAAGCUAUGUUGAGUCAGCUAGAUAGCAGAAGCAGGAAGAGAGCUGGCCAGAAGGCAUGCACCCGCUGGAAGACCCAGAGAGAGACGAUGAGGAGGUGAGUCACAGGAUGGAUGAAAACUUUCCACAGUCACAGAACUAACAAGUGGUGCUGAGGACUCAAACCCAGGGAAACCCACUGUAGAGCCCAUGCUGGUCAUCCAUAUCCCCAAGGCCCUGGUCAGAACACAGCUAAGCAGACGACUUGGGUCAUCAGGGUGUCAUUACAUCCAAAGGAAGACAGCCUGUGAUGUUUCAAAAGCAAAGUCCCCUACUAGCCAGUAAAGUUAUCUGAUUUCUCAGUAUCUUAUGCCCAGUGACAUGAUCUGCCCUCAAAACUUUUAAAAAAAAGUAAACAUAAACACAUAACAGCAGCAGCAAUAAUUAAAGAUGAGAUGAGAACAAUUAAGAAAAAAGGAAAGUUAGGUCUCCUGUGAGUGUUGUAUUUUUAGGGAAAGAGAGGAAGAAGAAUGAUUUUUGUUUUGAUGACUCUAUAUCAAAGUCUGAGGUUUGAUUAAAGAAAUGACCUUGAACCACAGUAAAGAAAAAUAAAAGACAAUUUCCAGUAAGUAUGCUAGUUCGAAUUAAUGAUUUACUUUUUAUUUUUAAACUGAAUUCAGCAGAGAUUUACAUGCAUUAGGUUAUGAUGAUUAACAUCUGAAAUUUGACCUUGAAAUGAUCUUUACAUUGUAAAUUCUUAAUGAUCAAAACAAGGUUCUCAGUGAUUAAAACAUAUUAGCAAUUAAUUAUUAAAGCAGAAUAAUUGCAAAUACAACAUUCCUAAAAUCUCAAGGCUUUUAAAGCAUUUGUACAAAUGACUGGACAUUUUUUAAAUUUGAAAAAAAAAAAAAUUAAGCCCUCCAUCUGAUUCUCAUUUUCAUUGUCAAUGUAACAACAGAAAAGGUAUGCAAUUCUCUUCUCAUUUUCCAUUGUCUUGCAAGCUAGAAAUUCUCACAAGUACCUUUGAUCCCAUCAAAGCCAAAGAAAGAAAAGAAAAUUGUCCUGUACAGAUCUAUGACAUUAAAAAGUAAUCCCCAAAACGUCUUCUCUAAGGUUAAUAAAAAGUCAGCAGUUUUGAUCAUUUUUUAAAAUCAAUUUAUAAAUAAUUUAGUCACUUAUAGAUGGGACAUGAUCUUCCUGCUAUCCCUAACUACUCUCAUGCCAAAACUGGUCAUAGCACAAGUGGAGCUACCUAGCAAGCUGAUCCGCCCAAAUCAUUUCUACUGGGUUACAAGAUUUUAAGAAAUAACCACGUCUCACACCAUAGAGAACAAUAAUUCAACCAGAUAUCUGUCCCAUAUAUUGUAGGUACUCUCUCUCAAAGCUGUAACUCUUUUUAACUUGGAUAGUCUCACCUAGAGUAGAUCUCUUGUUGACAGAAGGAACCCCAGAAUGUGUACAGGCCAGGGCUGAUUGUGACUUCCACUGGCCAAGAUUGUCCCAGGGCCAGGACGAGGGUCACACAGGUGCACUAGCCUCCCAAGGGCUGAGCAUGUGUGGUCAACCAUCUGGAGGAAGAUAUAAGUACAUCCCCUAAAUUCUCCCCAAUCCAGUCCCUUGUCCCUGGAGUUUCAUUAGAAGUGACAAAGUUGAAUGAAGAAACACAAAAGCA